UCCCAGCCAGAACGGAGCUUAAGCCGGGCAGGCGAGCGAAUGACCGAGUAGCGAGCUGCACGGCGGCGUGCUGCGCUGUUGAGGACGCUGUCCCGCGCGCUCCCAGGCCGUCCCGGGGCUUGGGGUCUUCGAAAGAUAAUCGGCGCCCGGGGCCGAACAGCGGGGGCACACGGGGCGCUGCCGAAGUGCAAGGCCACGGCCAGAGCUCGAGCCCGACGCGCUGUCUGGAGUCGUAGGUUGGCGUCGUUUGGGGUCGGGGUCUGAGGCUUGGGCGCUGCCUGGGCCGAGCGGAGAUCGGGGUUUGCCUCCCGUCCCCGCUCAGGAUCCUGACGUGGCUGAAGCGGCCCCGGGAGCAUGAGCGGGCAGCGCGUGGACGUCAAGGUGGUGAUGCUGGGCAAGGAGUACGUGGGCAAGACUAGCCUGGUGGAGCGCUACGUGCACGACCGCUUUCUGGUGGGGCCUUAUCAGAACACCAUCGGGGCCGCCUUCGUGGCCAAGGUGAUGUCGGUCGGAGACCGGACUGUGACAUUAGGUAUUUGGACCUCACAGACAGCAGCAGCUUUGAGCGAGCAAAGUUCUGGGUGAAGGAACUGCGCAGCCUAGAAGAGGUAGGUGAACAGACCUCACUAGAACACUGGGGGCUGGGGUUCUGUUGGUCUGUGGAGGUGACCCUUGUCUUCUGCCUCAGGGCUGCCAAAUCUACUUAUGUGGCACCAAGAGUGACCUGCUGGAAGAAGACCGGAGGCGUCGACGUGUGGACUUCCACGACGUCCAGGACUAUGCAGACAGUAGCUGCUCCUCAGCCCUUUGGGGGGUGGGGGUGUGUGGCUGUCUGGGUGGAUCAAAGAAAAUAGGGACUGCCUUGGCUGCCAGGGCAGGGUGCUCUAGGAGGUCUUCCUGGCCUCCUUGAACCGUGGGGUCUACGAGACUCCCUGAACUGCUAGCCCUCC
rnacentral:sRNA from 1 species